rnacentral:misc_RNA from 1 species
AACGCACAUUGCGCCCUCUGGUAUUCCGGGGGGCAUGCCUGUUCGAGCGUCAUUACACCACUCAAGCUCAGCUUGGUAUUGGAAAUCUUAUCCACCCCCUUGGGGAGGGCAAUUUUCAAAAACUAGCGGCGGUGCAGCCGGACUUCCCAGCGCAGUGACUUUACAAUUCUCGCUACGGAACUCGACUGCUCCGGCCGGUAACCAUUUUCUCCCCGGGGAAAAUAUCUUUCUAUUGUUGACCUCGGAUCAGGUAGGGAUACCCGCUGAACUUAA